UCUAUUACAAUCUCAAUCUCAUUCUCCAUCUACACCAAUCUGCAUUGAUGCUUUUGCUAAUUUCUAUAUACACACUUAUUCAAGAAAUUAAAGGGAAAAAAUGUUGGGAAUUUUCAAGGAGAAGUUGGUGAAUGCAUCAAAGGAGCUUAAUAGCCCUGCUUCUUUGAAUUCAUCAAACAAUAAGCCUAAGCUUUCUCAUGAAAUCCUUCACAAUUUCAUGUCCAACAAUUCCUCCAAUGCUUUCUGCAUGAACUUUGGACAUCAUGCUUUACUAGCUUAUUCCCCUCUAAACCAGCCCUCCGUUCAUCAAAGGUUGUUUAGUGGUGUGGACAACAUAUACUGUGUGUUCUUGGGGAGCCUGCACAACCUUAGCAUGCUGAA